rnacentral:tRNA from 1 species
GGCUGAUGGUUAAUAGUAUAAGGCUGGCUACCAGAUACUUUUUCGUCAAAAUCACCUGCUAAUAAGGUAACCCGGU